GGCAUAGAGAGAGAAUAUUUUUGUAAUGUUUCUGUAUUUUGAGAGAGUGCAUGCAAGCAGGGGAGGGGCAGAGAGAGAAGGAGAGAGAGGAUCUCAAGCAGGUUCCGCGCUGCCAGCACAGAGCCUGAUGUAAGCCUCCAUCUCACAAACCGUGAGAUCACAAGCAGAGCUGAAAUCCAAGAGUCCGACCCUUAGCUGACUGAGCCACCCAGGCACUGAGAGAGAGAGAGAGAGAGAGAGAGAGAGAGAGAGAGAGAGAGAGAGAAAGAGAGAGAGAGAAUCUUAAGCAGGCUCUGCACUCAGUGUAGAGCCCAACUCAGGGCUCAAUCUCACGACCCUAGGAUCAUGACCUGAGCCAAAAUCAAGAAUUAGAUGCUCAAUGCACUGAGCCACCAGGUGCCCCUGCCUUCAUAAUUUUUAAAAAGCCCAGCAUCUUCCUUUUAAAUUUUCUUAGUAUCUUCUGAUCUUUUCAAAGAAAAUGCAGAUUCUUCUUUUUUAAUUUUUUUAAAUGUUUAUUUAGUUUUGAGAGAAAGAGAGUGUGAGCAGGGGAGGAGCAGAGAGAGAGGGAGACACAGAAUCCAAAGCAGGCUACUGGCUGUGAGCUGUCCCCACAGAGCCCCACACAGGGCUCGAACUCAAGAACCGCGAGAUCAUGACCUGAGCCAAAGUCAGAUGCUUAACUGACUGAGCCACCCAGGUGCCCAGCAGGUCUGUCUUCUUAGGACAGCACUAAAGCCCAGAGCCACGGCAGGGACUCAAACACCUGAUCUGGGUGCCGACUAUAGGGUUUUCCCAGGCCAUGUCUUUCAUGGAAGAAUGAGGGCAGAGGCAGAAGAAGAUGAGGGAAGGCUUCCACUUGGCUGCAGAGGGACUAAGGUGUAUCUGACUCCCUUCCAGGAUUCCUUUGCGAGCUCUCCCUCUCCUUUCUCCCCUAACACUUCUGCUGCGCUUUUGUUUUUCACCACACAAAAUCUCUUUUCUUCAGGCAGAACAGCCAGGUUAUGGGAAGUGUAGAGCGGAUUAAGUUUACUAUUCUACAAAGCAAUGGACAGAAAGAGAUGACCCUUAAUCAUCCACAGAAAAAAAUACAUGAGCAGAAGCAAGAGACAGGAAAAUUAAAACCAAAAAAUCCUGCCCCAAAGCUGAGCUAGAGAAAGACAAAAGGGAUAGGAGAAGUGGACAUACAUAGAUCAAGGGACAAAUAAAAGGAUCACCUGUAUGGAAGAGACAGAGGUGAAGACAGAUGGAGGGCAAGACAGGGAAUCUUUGGUGGAAACGUUGAGAAAGACCCUCAUGGUUGCUGACAGGAAGCAGUCACAGAACUGGUAAAAUGGUCAUAAACAAAGAGGACAAGGACGAGGAAAAUCAGUAUAAAAGCUGACAGGAAGGGCCCCCAAGGGUGCAAGGCACAGAUGGUUUAGACAGAGAAAUAGAUGGGGCGCCUGGGAGGAACGACCCCACUCAGGAGAGAUGGAGGUAACAGAAGCCCUUAGAGAGGUUAGCAGAGCGAGAGAAGAGAGAGGUGGAGAUAGAGGCUGAGGGGGAUUCGUCAGGGGAGCUGAGAAGCAAAAGAACAGAAGGUGGAGAAGCACUCAAUGGAAAGAUUCACUGGCAGAAAAAGAAAGUAGGAAAUAUGUGGCGUUGGGGACAGAAAGACAAAGGACAAACGGCUACACUGUAUAACACAAAGCCAGAGACUGCCAGGAACUGUUAGGCAGAGACUGGUAGGAAGAUGAGGAAAAAUAAGAAUCAGGGAUGUAAACUGACAUAGAAGAAUAGGCAAAGGGACUGAGGAGAACCACAGAGGGUGAAAGAAGGGGGAGGGGUGGGUGGAGAGGGGAGCAGACUGAGUAAAUAAACAUCCAAAGGAAGGGGCACCUGGCUGGCUCAGUUGAUGGAGGAUGCGUGAUCUCAGAGUUGUGAGUUCGAGCCCCACGCUGAGUGUAGAUAUUACUUAAAAAAAAAAAAAAAUCUAGGCGUGCCUGGGUGGCUCAGUUGGUUAAGCGUCCAACUUCAGUUCAGGUCGUGGUCCCAGGGUUUGUGGGUUUGAGCCCCACAUCAGGGUCUCUGCUGUCAGCACACAGCCUGCUUUGGAUUCUUUGUCCCCCUCUCUCUGCCCCUACCCCACUUGCUCUCUCUCUCUCUCUCUCUCCCCCCCCUCUCUCAAAAAUAAAUUUAAAAAAACAUUAAAAAAUAAAUAAAAUCUAAAACAAACAAAAAUGCCCCAAACCAAACCAACAAAACAUCCAAAGGAAAAAUCAAGGAGAAGGAGGGAACAGAGAAAGAAAGAACGAAAGAAAGAAAGAAAGAAAGAAAGAAAGAAAGAAAGAAAGAAAGAAAGAAAGAAUAGAGAUAGGGGAAAAAAGGAAGGAGGGAUAAUGACAGAUACCCAUCAGAGAUCAUUAAAGCACAAAGUGGGCGGGGCACCUGGCUGGCUCAGUUGGAAGAGGAUUCAACCCUUGACCUCAGGGCCAAGAGGUUUUUGUUUUUUGGGUUUUUUUAAUGUUUAUUUAUUUUGAGAGAGAGAGACAGAGAGAGAGAGACAGAGCACAAGCAGGGGAGGAGCAGAGAGGGAGAGGGAGACACAAUCUGAAGCAGGCUCCAGGUUCUGAGCUGUCAGCACAGAGCCCUACGCAGGGCUCGAACUCAUAAAUCGCGAGAUCAUGACCUGAGCCAAACUUGGAUGCUUAACUGACAGAGUCACCCAGGUGCCCCUCGGGGUUGAGAGUUUGAACCCCAUGUUGGGACUAGAGAUUACUUUAUAAAAUUAAAACAUCUUUUUAAAAAAAGUUUAUUUAUUUAUAUCUCUAAGUUUAUGUAUUUAUUUAUUUAUUUAUUUGGGAGACAAACAGAGAGAGGGAAAGAGAGGCUCCUAAGCAGGCUCUGCACUGUCAGCAGCUCAAACUCACGAACCACAAGAUCGUGACCUGAGCCAAAAUCAAGAGUCGGACGCCUAACUGACUGAGCCACCCAGGCACCCCCAAAAUUUGAAAAUCUUAAAAAUUUCCAAAAAGCACAAAGGGAAAGAACAACACAUAGAGUGUGAGAAGAAAUUGCCACCGUUGGAAGCAAACACAGGCAGACAAUAAGAGCAGAGACAUCAAAUGUAAUCAGACAAAAGCCAGAGAGGCAAAGGUAUAGAAGUUGAGACAGAGAAACAAAACAGAGUUGUGUCAGAGAGGUUGUCCUUGAUAGCAGUAGUAUCUUCAAAACUCAAUUCGCCAUCUUAACUGAAUACCUUCAUUAACAAAAACACUAUCUUGAGUUUUCAAAGCAAAAGAAAUGUGACAAACUCACGGAAGAAAUCCAUUCCCUAAGUAUGUGUUGAGGUCAAUAUUGAUUUGUUCCAAGCCCUGCAUGUUUUCUUGUGCCGCCGACACAAGUUUAUUGUUCAAGCGAGUACCCCUCAAGUGACUAAUUGAUAGUAUCUUGUGAGAGGUGCCAAGACCUUGACCAUUAUGGAAAUAUAGCUGUUCCUGUGGGUUAACUAGUAAAACUUGUACAGAAAGGGUAAGAUUAGCUACUAGGUAGGGGUAGGACAUAAGCAAACACCUGAAGAAUUUGGGAUCAGGCAAAUUUUCAUCACAGUGACCCAGUGAAACUUCAGGAAGGCAAGACUGCAGUAUGAUUGUAAUUGAUUAAGUAGAUAUCUCAUCACAGAGACCAGUUAUAGAUGGUGUGGACCAGAUAUAGAUGAUGGGAAUUGGAGAGGCAUGGUCAGUUGGGUCCCUAGAAAAGAGAAACUCAAAAAUGCAGAGGUUGGCAAAUGCUGCAUUUGGUACAAUGAGUUGGGUCACCGUGGCAGUGACCUGUCAGACCUCACCAUGGCCUAGUGAAGUGGCCCUCAAGACUGACUCCAUGCCUACCAAGCUAUCGGCUGAUGAAUUAUUUGUCCUCUGGCACAAGGGAGUGGCUUCCGGGAUGGGAGACAUUGAUAUUUUAUAGUCUUGAAACACUAUCCUGAUCAUAAAUUAAUAAAUUGCUAUGCACAUAA